AGUUAGGGCAUUAACUGGUAACAGUUACGUAACGGUAACAUCCCUACCCUUAGUACAAAAGAUCCAGCCACCUCUUGGGAUGCACACGUUUCUCUUCAACUGCGUGAUGUGAACUGCGUCACAUGUGAAUUAUCAACAGAAACUACCUAGAGAAACCUGUAACUUCAGAUCUUCUGAUUAAUUGAUUUUCUUUGGGUGCUGCUUGACAGUAACAGAAUGGUCCAUGGGGACAGUUUUUCAGUGAAUGUUUUCAACAAUGAUAGGAACACAGAGCUAAGCAGAGUGUCAAGAGACAUUUAGUGCAGUAGAGACAUCUCAUCUGUUUUUCUGCAGAACUUGCAUAAAAUUAGCAUCUGAUUAUUAUCACCUCAGAAUGAACCGGAACCCGUAAAGAUGUCUUUGAUCGUAAAAGUGGGGAGGAGACCCUGAUGGAAGAAGAGAAGACUUCAGCCUCACAAUAGAAAAGACUGUGUUUAUGCACCUAAAUCUAACUUAGACACCAUCUAAUUCAAGAAACAGGCACAUUUAGGGAAAUAAAGAAAAGAGGCAGAAAGAGAUGAAGCACCUUGGCUGAAUCAGAGAAAUUAGGGGUUAAUGUUCCAGACUGAUGACUUGAAGGAGGGUGUGCAUUUUCAUGCAAGGGACCAUUCUGUAGAAGAAGCAGCACAUUCACCCUUAAAUGAGCAAAGAGAAUCCCAAUCACUCUCCCUCUCACCCUCCCCUUUUCCUUCAUUUCUCUAGCUCUUUAUUUCCAAGAAGGCCAGCCCUUCUCUUCAGCCACAUGGUAUUUGGACAGCCUAGGCUCAAUCCCUGCAGGGAAAGCUCAAUCAGCCAGCUGAGCCAGUCACUGAACAACCAAGUCUGGUAAGAACAGGGGUGAAGUAUUUAAGAAGCCUAUCGUGGCUGGAGGGCUAAAGCCUUGUUCUCAAAUCAGCUUUAUAGGUAAUAAAACUGACAUUAAAGCAAAAA
ensembl:lncRNA PCAT1 prostate cancer associated transcript 1